AAGAAGUUAGUUAAAUAAAUAACAUUAGCUUGUCAAACUAAUAUUAUCCUCAAGAUAUUUCUUU
rnacentral:tRNA from 1 species